UACGUAGGUCCCGAGCGUUGUCCGGAUUUAUUGGGCGUAAAGCGAGCGCAGGUGGUUUAUUAAGUCUGGUGUAAAAGGCAGUGGCUCAACCAUUGUAUGCAUUGGAAACUGGUAGACUUGAGUGCAGGAGAGGAGAGUGGAAUUCCAUGUGUAGCGGUGAAAUGCGUAGAUAUAUGGAGGAACACCGGCGGCGAAAGCGGCUCUCUGGCCUGUAACUGACACUGAGGCUCGAAAGCGUGGGGAGCAAACAGG
rnacentral:rRNA from 1 species